GACGUAGGGUGCAAGCGUUGUCCGGAAUUACUGGGCGUAAAGCGUGCGCAGGCGGUUGUGCAAGACCGAUGUGAAAUCCCCGGGCUUAACCUGGGAAUGGCAUUGGUGACUGUACGGCUAGAGUGUGUCAGAGGGGGGUAGAAUUCCACGUGUAGCAGUGAAAUGCGUAGAGAUGUGGAGGAAUACCGAUGGCGAAGGCAGCCCCCUGGGAUGACACUGACGCUCAUGCACGAAAGCGUGGGGAGCAAACAGG
rnacentral:rRNA from 1 species